CUUGUGGGGGUGCAGGUCCCUCAGCCCGGAUUGCGAGAGGACGCGGGCCAGGCCGAGGGACCUCACCGGGGCACC
rfam:Myotis davidii contig209531, whole genome shotgun sequence.